rnacentral:lncRNA from 1 species
AGGCAGUCGGUAACUAGGUAGAGGUGUCCUCGUAGAUUUAUCCCUUUUGUAGGUAUCUCAGCAUUCAAUUGAUGUACUUUCACCUGGGUCUCUCCCUUGGAAGUUGACUAUUUCUUUUGUUGUGUAUAGACAAACCCGAUGUAAAUUAUAAAGAUGUAUGUUUUAGACAAUAUACGUAUAUUUCGAUUGGUAAUUCCACUAUGAGUUGGCAAUGGUUAGCAUUAUUUUGAAUUGGAAUUAUGAAAUGUGACUAUAGGAACUUUUGAUGGAAUGAUGAACAGGUCAUAUAAUAGGCUUGCUUGGGCUCAGUGGGCUAUGCCCAUCGGGCCUAUGCAACGGCAAUGGCUCGAAAACUGGGCUGCGACACUAAGGACGAGGUACAAGUCGAUCCAAAAAAAGUUGAGGCAGUGGAAAAGGGGCCAAGGCCAACAUCAGUUACAAAGAUUAGAAGCUUUUUGGGUUUGGCUAGCUAUUAUCGUCGUUCUGUGAAGGAUUUCUCCAAAAUAGUCAUACCUCUGAGUACGCUGACAUAUAAAGAUACAAAAUUUGAGUGGUUAGAUGCCUGUGAGGAUAGCUUAAGGCAUGUCUCACCACAACUCCAGUAUUAAGCCUACUGCAAGGCACUAGGGGUUAUACGAUAUUUUUUGAUGCAUCGCGGGUUGGUUUAGGGUGUGUAUUAAUGCAACAUGGGAAGGUGAUUGUGUAUGCAUCAAGGCAACUUAAAAGGCAUGAGCAGAAUUACCCCGCACACGAUUUGGAGAUGGCAACAAUCGUGUUUGCCUUAAAGAUUUGGAGACAUUACUUGUAUGGUGAGAAUUGCGAGAUAUAUAUGGACCACAAAAGCCUAAAGUAUAUAUUUCAACAAAGGGAUCUUAACUUGUGACAACGUAGGUGGAUGGAGUUGCUAAAGGAUUAUGAUUGUACUAUUCUUUACCAUUCCGGUAAGGCAAAUGUAGUGGCAGAUGCCUUCAGUCAAAAAUCAAUGGGGAGCUUGGCACAUAUCUUUGCAAAUAGGAGAUCCUUGAUUAUGGAGAUGCAUAGCUUGGGAGAUAUGGGUGUGCAUUUGGAAGUUUGAAAGGCAAAUGCAUUGCUAGCAUAUUUCAGAGUAAAGGCUAUCUUAAUGGACUGGAUUAAAAAAGUAGAAAGUAAAGAUGAGUUCGUAGCUAAGGCCUUAGAGGACCCUUAAGGAAGGAAAUGAGAGAUGUUUACUAAAGGCAUAAAUGGAGUAUUGAGGUAUGGAACCAGACUUUAUGUGCUUGAUAGUGAUGAAUUAAUGAGAGAAUAUAUUGGAGGAGGAGCACAUGGCAGCCUAUGUGGUACAUCCGCAGGCUACAAAGAUGUAUCAAGAUUUGAAAAAGGUAUAUUGGUGGGAAAGACUUAAGAAAGAUGUAGUUGAGUUUGUCUCCAAGUGCUUGGUUUGUCAGUAGGUUAAGGCCGAGCAUCAAAGGCUUGGAGGGCUACUACAACCAUUAUUAGUGCCCGAAUGGAAGUGGGAGUAUGUUGCAAUGGACUUUGUAAUGGGCUUGCCUUAAACUAGUAGGGGCUAUGACUAGAUUUGGAUCAUUGUAGACCGGUUAACAAAGUCAGCUCAUUUUUUUCCAAUUAAGACUACUUACGGGGUUGCCCAAUAUGCUCGAGUUUAUGUGGAUGAGAUAGUACGACUGCAUGGUAUCCCCAUUUCUAUAGUAUCUGACAGAGGAGCACAUUUCACCAGUAGGUUCUGGGGAAAGUUGCAGGAAGCGUUGGGCACUAAGUUGGAUUUCAGCAUGGCUUUCCACCCUCAGACUGAUUUGCAAUCUAAACGAACAAUACAAACAUUAGAAGAUAUGUUGAGGGCAUUGUAAUAGACCUUGGGGUCAAAUGGAAUUGGUAUCUACCCUUAGUGGAGUUUGCUUACAACAAUAGUUUCCAAGCUAGCAUCCAAAUGGCACCAUUUGAAGCAUUAUAUGGACGGAGGUGUAGUCACUCAUUGGAUGGCUAGAGGUAGGAGAAAGGAAACUCUUUGGGCCAAAAUUUGUACAGGAUGCCAUCAAGAAAGUAGGCAUGAUUCGUUAGAGGAUGUUAUCAGCAUAAAGUAGACAAAAGUCAUAUGCUGAUAAUAGACGGAGAGACUUAGAGUUUCAGGUGAGAAAUCAUGUAUUUUUGAAGGUCUCAUUAACAAAAAGGGUAAUGAGGUUCAGCAAGAAAGGAAAAUUAAGUCCUCGGUAUAUAGGACCUUUUGAAAUCUUAGAAAGGGUUAGAGUAGUGGCUUAUCGUUUGACGCUACCACCAGACCUCUCAAAUAUUCACCCUGUAUUCCAUGUGUCAAUGCUUAGGAAGUAUAACCCAGAUCCAUCUCAUGUAAUAUGGUAUGAAACCAUCCAAUUGCAAGAUGAUUUAACCUAUGAGGAGCAACUAGUGGCUAUCCUUGAUAAGCAAGUCAAAAAGCUCUGUUCAAAGGAAGUAGCAUUAGUGAAAGUGUUAUGGCGAAGCCACACCAGCUUAGAGGUAACGUGGCAAACCAAUGAGGAGAUGCAAGCAAAGUAUCCACACCUCUUUAAUAAAUAAAGGUAUGUUACCUUAUAGUUUGAUUUAAAUUCGAGGACUGAAUUUUUUUUAGCGGGGGAGAAUGUGAGACCUUGAUCUUUAUAGACUCGUAGCUAGAAGUAGACGCGAUAUGACAAACUAGGGGUAAUUUCAUCAUUUCCUUAUUGAGCCCCUAGAAGUAUGCUUUCAAACAAUAUUAAGGCUUACGUAGGCCUAAGGCAUAAAUGAAUGAUGAAAAUAAGGAUAAAAUGACAAAGGAAAUAGAAAUAAUGAUGAUUUCCUAGGUAGGGGCAAAAUGGUCAUUUUUCAUCUCGAGUCAAAAUUUUUAAGUUUUUGUGAACUCUAGUAUUUCUAGACUAUUAUGGACUUUGUCUUAGUGUUAAAAGAGUAAAAAGAUUGCAUAAAGGAUUGGAGGAAGACAAAGCCAACUUGUUAAGGGCAUUUUCGUAAUUUAAGUGGAGUUUGGAUAAGCUUUAGCUAUAAUUCUCAUUUUCUAGCAGCAUCUUCUUCUUCUUCCUCCAAUCUCACGUUUCUUUCACCCUCCAUGGAAGCUUGUUUUGAAACCUCCAUAACUUCUCUCAAGUUAGCUCGAAUUUUCAUGCUUUUGUGCACUUUUUCAUAGAACCUUUUGUGCUCUUUCACUCUCUCACUUUAAAACCCUUGAAAAGUCUUACUUCCAUACUUCCUCUCACUCGCUAGGUGUUUUAGAGACAGAAAGAGGGAGCUUCUAUAAUAGCUUGAAAAUUUUGGAAAGAAAUUCAAUUACAAAGCUACGAAGGUGAGUGGUGAAUUAGAGUUAAUUUUUUAGUUGUUGAAAAUGGCUAAUGGAUAGAUUUGUGAAUGUUUUGUAGUUGAGGAUAUUUAUUCAUCUUUAGUGUGAUUAGAAUAGUGAAAGUAAAUAGCCGCUUAAUGGCAAUUGGAAGCUAGUUAUGGAUAACUAGUAGAACAUGAUUUAGGAGAUAGCUUUUAGAAUUAUGGUUAUGUGAAUUGAGUUGAUUUGUGAUGCUAUUCUGUAUGAUAGGUUCCAACGAGACCCCACAUCUCCAUUCAGAGCAUUAGUGGAAGUUGGAGUCAAUCUAAGAUUCAACAAAUAUCGGUGAGUGAACUUGCAUUUCAAAAUGUUUUGGAAAGUGCCUACAUGUUUAAAUAAAUCAUUUGAAAGUUUCGUUUGUUUUGUUUUAAAAAUACACUUGGGGAACAAGCCCUUGAUGAAAUGUUUCUAUCUUGUGAAAUGUGCAAUAUGAAUAGUUCAUGUGUUCUCACAUUAUAUUGAUAUGUACAUUAUGCUUUGGAAGCUCUUUUUGUGUGAUAAUGAUGACCCAGCUAUGUGCGGUGUGGGAGUGCACAUGAGUUGACGAAUGACCUAGCUAUGUGCGGUGUGGGAGUGCACAUGAGCUGAUGAUAAUGAUAUUGCAUUAUGUGUGUAGGGAGUGCACACGAGCUGUGUGGCGGGAUGGUAUGCAUGAUGAUGUAUGUAUAUAUAUAUAUAUGUAAUAGAAAGUUUAUGAAAAUAAUUGUGAUUGUGUUGUAUGUUGGCAUUGUUAAUUUAUACCAAAUUGCUUUUCAUUUCAGCAUGAAAAUGGAUUUUUGAUGUAACAAUACCCCUUUUCACUAAAUUGCUCUGUUUCUCGCUGUAGCGAGAAACUCUCGAGUUGGGGGGGGGGUUACAUUGGCCUGGUUCUCACUGCAGCGAGAAAUUUGUUGAAGCUUCUCACUGCAGCGAGAAACUCUCGGGUGGUUUUAAGAUUCUGGUGCAAUGCUUUCACUUCAACAAAGAUUUUGACUACCUUCAUAUCAGAACUGGGAAAAAUGGUAAAUAGAAAAGUUGUAGCCCAGCCUCUUAGAUUUACAAUGACCCACAAAUCAUGUCAAUUUAACUUCUGUAGUGGGUGUUAUGCUUAAAAAACCGAAGCAUAUGCAAACUAAGACUACCUGUUCGCUACAGCGAGAAAACCCUCUGUUUGCUUGUCUUGCUUGGUCAUUGCUGAAAUUUUCAUUCUAUUCCACUUCAUGGUUGAUCAUGGAUCUUGUAACAUUAAGGGAUUAAACAUUCAAAGUUUGGAAUGAGGGGUUUUUAACCAAAACUUAGACUACAUUGCAUGGUUUUAUCGUAAGUGCAUCAUGUUUUCUAAAACAUUCCUUAGUGUUGCUUGUUCUCUUCUUAUGUUCACUCAUUGAGUUUAUACUCACUUUUUUAAAUUGCAUGCUUUCAAAUCUGUAGAUAAUUGGGACCGAAACUAAGGCGUCCACUUGCAUUCACUAUUGGCAGGUAUCAUGGCAUUCGAUAGCUGUACCCUCACCAAAGUCACUCCGCUUGUCUUUAGAAGUCUUUUAUAUGAGUACAUGUACAUUAAAUGUAAAUUUCUAGGAAUAACUUGCCAACGAUGCAUGUAUAGUUUGGAAUGAUGGUGCCAUUAUGAGAUGGCUAUGAAUAACCUUAUUUUGAGAUCAAACAAAUGUAAAUUUUUGGUAUCGAUGCUAUAUUAUAAAAAUACGUCCAGUUGCAAAUUAUAAAUGGUGAUCUAGUAAUGGUGAUGAAAAAAUUGAUGGGAUAGUGAACUGGAUUACGUAAAAAAGUUUGCUUAGGCUUAGUGGGCUACGUCCACUAGGCCCAUGAGUCGAUCAUGGCCUAAAAUUUGGGUCGUCACAAGUAUGAUCUUAAUUGACCAACCACGUAUCUUGGUCGACUAAAUGUUCUCUGUUUCUCAAUCCUUUUGAGCCCUUGAACUUCUAAUUUGAAUUUUAGCUAACAAACACCCUUUGUUUUUUAUUAAAAGGCUUCUGUUUCGUUGAUCAAUUGUGGCUCCUUAUUCUUAUUAUUUUUGAUAUGUGCCUUUGAAUAAUUAAUUUAUUAUUAGCAUACAAUUUUUGUCCUGCACACUCAAGUAGAAAUAUUAGACACAAAUAAAUGGGAAUGUUUUAUUAUCAUGAAAAACUAAUGGAGCCAACAAUCUCCCCCCUUUUGAUGAUGGUAAAACAUUCCUUGAUUAAUAGCAUAGUGUCUAUUUAUUUCUUUUUAUUUUGCACAGAAUGAGGAUUUUCUCCCCUUAAGUGUGUGCUCCCCCUUAUUGUAUGCAUGAUUCUUGUUCUUAAAUUUAGUAAGUUUUUAUCUAUCUCUUAAAAAAAAUGAUAGGUAUAGAUUCAAAUAUCAUCAAUGUUGUAAUUAACUAUCUAUCAUAUUAUUUCCAAACCUUAUUCGUUUCAAAACUAAAUGCCAUAAACCAUCCAACAAAAAUAUUAGCAUUCAUAUUCAUUUUCAACCAAAUUCCAUUCACAAUAUCAUAACAAAAAUUACUUAUCAGCAUAAUAGCCUAGUAUCAGCACCCAAUCUUUGAACAGCAACAAUCAAAAUUACAUAAAUAUCAAGAACAAAUUUAAAUGUUUAACCAUCAGCUUACAAUUUUCAACACUAUAACAUAAACAGCAAAGUCAAAUUCAAAUGUUCAACUGUCAGCAAACAAAAACAACUUAAUCAUUAUAGUUAGAGUUCCUAAAUUACCCCUAAAUCAUUUCUACCUUCCCUUAAAACUUAUUUACUUUCGAUUUCCCCCAAGCUUUCUAUCAUAAUUCUCCCCCUUUUUGUCAUCAUCAAACAGAAGUGUGUUUAAUCAGUUUUUGAAUUAGCAGAAGGGGGAGACUCAUCAGUUCCAAAGUAGACAGUAAGGGGUUCAAGAGAGGGUUCAGGUGAUGGUCUUUUGGGUGAGGCUUCAGGAGAAGAUUGGUCUGAAAUUUACAGUGGAUCUUAUGUAAAGAAGAUGGCUGAGGGUUUGGCUCUUUCAGCUAUCUUGGAAAACUUUCUUCGCUUGAGGAAUUUGGUUUUUGUUGCCAUGGUCUUCCUUCCUUUACCAAGUGGUUUAGUUCUUUUUUGUGUUGGUGCAGCAGCUUUUCCUUUGUUUUUGCCAGAUUGGUCAGCCUGCCCUAUAGUGUGCAUUGGCUUAAAGGAUGCUCUGACAGAUGCUGGCUUCUGAGCUUUAACCUUUGCUGCUAUUUUCUCUGCCUAUUCUUCUUGAACCAUUUGAUAAAAAAUAUGCAUGAUUGACACUUCCUCAGAGUUAGGUGGAGAUGGCUGUUCUGGCUAUGUCUCGUCAUGGGGUGGAGAGAUGUCAUCAAAGGAUCCAAGUACUUCAGUGCCUUAAUUGGAUUUUUCAUCAUUUUCAGGCUCAAAAGUGGGAGAUUUCCACGACUGAACUAAUUUUUGUUCAUGACCUUCAGGCUCGAAGGUAGGACUUUCAGUAGCUUGUUAUGCUAGUGCUGGACUUGCUGUUGCAGAGGUGUCUUCAGCUUCAAGAACAUUAAUAAAUUUUUCUUUUUCCUUUACCACACUUUUCAGCUCUUUCAACUUAUCUUCAAUUUGCUGAAUCUUUGUAUGCUGGUCAGUGAGUUUUUCAUCAAUUCUCAUUAGCAGAUUUAGAAUCAUUUCACUUGAAAUCUGUGAUGAAGCGACCUUUGACUGAGCAGGAAGGGAAUGCUCAUCUUUUGGAGUUUUUCAUCAAUUCUCAUUAAUAGGUUUUGAUCAAGCUUGUACCCCAUCUUUAGCAGACUUUUUAAGUAAAUUCCUUGGUCUCUUCUUUUUACUUGAUCAAUUUCAUACCUUGAACUCCAUAUUCCCUUUUUCUUCACUAGUGUUGUGAUUUUAUUUCCAUACGGCAAGUUUAGUUUAUCAAUUCGACAGGCCCCUUUCAUCCUUUCUAUCAUGAAUUAGCCUAAGUUGAGUGGAGCAACAUUGAAGGCAUGCUCCAUUAGCCACAUGUCCUGAAGACUUACAUAGCUGAAGCUACCAUUUCUCCCAUGAAUAUUUGCAACAAUAAAGUAAUGCAGGAUUCUAAUCUGAGGGCUUUUGAUGAGAUCGGUAUUACUUUUGGAUGAAUAUCUUUCUUUCUUUCCUAUAAUUAUCUCCCAUAGAGAUGAGGGAUCUUAAUUUUCAGGAAUUUCAUAAUCACCCUCUUCACAUUCAAUUUUGAGCAGACUUCCUGAAUCUGCAGCAGUCACCACAAACUCUUUUCCAUUUAGGAAGAUAUUCAGACCAUCAUUAAUGAAAUCCUCAAAAUCCUCAAGUUCAUUCUCAUCUAAUGCUAUGCUUGCACAAAACUCUUUUACUAGGCUAGCAUUAUAGGUUAUGUUCUUAAAAGUGCUAAAUUUCUUCAAUAUCAUUUCUUCAAAAUAAUCUGAUAAACGUACUUGAAUUUUAGGGGUCUCAUAAAAGCUAUCCCAAUUGAUAAAUUUGCCACAUGUAAUCGGAGCAUUUUCUAUUGUUUUAAACCUAUCUUCAUGAGCUUUAUUCCUAAAUUUUGAGGACGAAAUAUUACCUUUCUUGAAGAGUUUUCCUUUUUCUUUAUUUUUCUCUAAUUUGUGUUCCUUCUCUAUCUCCUUUUCCCAAUUUUCUCAACCACAGAAGCAGACACAAUUUUCUUCUUGUUCUUCUGAAUUUCUGUUGGUGGACUCUCUUCCAUUGGUCGUUUUCCCCUUUUCUUUUCCAAAGCAUUAUUGGGAAAUGUGGUUUUGGCCAUAGAUUUUGAACAGUUUUAGACUUAGCGUUUAGGGGUUAGAGAGAAACGGGAUUUCGAUUUUGCAAAGUAGAGGCUUCUGGUAGAAGAGAAUGAAGGAUGUGGAUGAGGAGUUAUGAGAAAUCGUCUGACUCCCCCUUUUUAAAUGUUGUCAGUUUUUCUCUUUUUCAAAAUUUAAAACUUUGCCUCUCAUUUUUAUUUUUCAGUUAAGCGGUAUUUUCUGCCCAUUUCUUCACCCGAUAGACUAUCUCUGUUUCUUUUUAUUAUUUUAUUCAUUCUAUCUUGGUUUCUUAACUAAUUAAGUCUUAUCUAUUUUUGACUGAGUCUUAUUAUUUAAGCAAACAGAAUCCUCUUAGUUGGUUAAGUGAUUCUCUUAGUCAACUAAGUGUCUACUAUUUUAUGAAUGAAAAUCUCAACAGUUUUCGUAAAGCUCCUGUACAUUAAUCAUUCCUAGAUUUCUCUUAAUUUCAUAGAAUCUUGCCUCAUUCAUGGGCUUGGUAAAUAUAUCAGUCAAUUGUUGCAAGGUGUUAACAAACUCAAUCUUAAUGUCUCAUUCAAUCACAUGGUCUCUAAUAAAAUGAUGUUUAAUUUCAAUAUGUUUGGUCCUAGACUGCUGAAUAGGAUUCUUUGAGAUGUUGAUGGCACUUAUGUUAUCACAAAAUAUUGGUACAUUAUGCAUUGUUACUCCAAAGUCUUUUAAUUGUUGUUUAAUCCAAAAAAUCUGAGCACAGCAGCUUCCUAAAGAAAUAUAUUUAGCUUUAGUUGUGGAGAGUGCAACAGAGUUCUGUUUCUUACUUGACCAAGACACAAGCAUACGUCCUAGAAACUAACAAGUUCCACUAGUACUCUUUCUAUUCAUUUUGCUUCCAGCAAGGUCUACAUUUGAAUAUCCAAUAAGACUAAAGGAUGAUUCUCUAGGAUACCAUAUUCCUAAAGCUUGUGUAUCUAAGAGGUAUCUAAAAAUUCUUUUAACAGCAAUCAAGUGUGAUUCUUUGGGUUGUGAUUGAAAUCGUGCACACAAGCAUACAUUGAAUUGAAUAUCAGGCCUGCUAACUGUUAAAUAAAGUGAUGAUUUAUCAUACCUCUAUAGAGCUUUUGAUCAACACUUUUUCCUUUUUCAUCAGCAUCAAGUUUGGUGGAUGGACUCAUUGGUGUGCUAAUUGAUUUCAGCUUUAGCAUGUUAAACUUUUUCAGCAUGUCUUGAAUAUAUCUUUCUUAGCUAAUGAAGAUUCUUUCCUUACUUUGCUUGAUUUGAAGGCCAAGAAAGAAUUUCAGCUCACCCAUCAUGCUCAUUUCAAAUUCACCCUACAUCUUUUCAGCAAAGUUCAUGCACAAAGCCUCAUUAGUAGCACCAAACACAAUAUCAUCCACAUAGAUUUGAACAACAAUUAAAUCAUUCAAGCAUUUUUUAAUAAACAAUGUUGUAUCAAUGCUUCCUCUAACAUAUCCUUUUUCAACUAGAAACUUUGAAAGCCUCACAUACCAAGCUCUAGGAUCUUGUUUCAAUCCAUAUAAAGCUUAUGUAGUUUGAAAACAAAAUCAGGCUUUUCAAAAUCUUCAAAUCCAAGGGGUUGUUUAACAUAUACUUCCUCUUGGAUGAAACCAUUUAAAAAAGCACUUUUCACAUCCAUUUGGAAUAAUUUGAAGUUCAUGAAACAUGCAAAUGCAAGCAAAAAUCUUAUAGCUUCUAUCCUAGCAACAAGAGCAAAAGUUUCAUCAUAGUCAAUUCCUUCAUCUUGGUUAUACCCUUAAGCCACGAACCUACUUGGUUUCUAAUAACAUUACCUUGCUCAUCUACCUUAUUUCUAAACACCAAUUUUGUGCCAACAAUUGGGUGAUUUAAAGGCCUAGAGACUAAUGACCAUACAAGAUUUCUUUUGAAUUGAUCAAGUUCCUUUUGCAUGGCCAUUAUCCACCUUUCAUUUUUUUCUGUUUCUUCAAAGCUCUUAGGCUUGAUUUGUGAGAUGAAAGCUGAGAACUCACAUGUCUCUCUAAUUCCUCUCCUAGUUUUGACUCCUUGCAUAAGAUCACCAAUGAUUUGUUCCUGUGGAUGAUCUUUUACAUAUCUUUAGCUCUUUGGAAGGUCAUUAUGCUAACUUUCGAUUCUUUGAAGAGUUUAUAAAGAUGGAGUUUUUGUUUCUCUUCUAGUAGAGUUUCCUUCACUGUUUUUUUUAUUUUCUAGACUCAUUUUUUCCAUUUGUCUUUCAAGGUCCUCUACAUCAUAACAAUCAACAAGAACUUCUUUUUGCAAGGCAUUAGAUUCAUCAAAAACUACAUGAAUUGACCCUUCAAUGGCUAAAGUUCUUUUAUUAAAGACUCUAUAAGCCUUUGAGUUCAAUGCAUAUCCUAGAAAUAUCACCUCAUCACUCUUUGCAUCAAACUUUCCUAGUGAAUGUUUUCCAUUGUUUAAUACAAAACAUUUGCAGCCAAAACUUCUAAGGUGAGAGAUGUUUGGUUUUCUACCUUUGUAAAGCUGAUAUGGGGUUUUUGAUAUCAUGGCUCUUAUUGAAACUCUAUUAAGAAUGUAGGUUGCUGUGUUGACAACUUCUACCUAAAAAUACUUUGGUAGAUUGUUUUCACACAACAUGGUUCGAGCCAUUUCCUUUGAGGUUCGAAUUUUCCUUUCUACAACCCCAUUUUACUAAAGUGUUCUAGGAGCUAAAAAAUUAUGAUCUAAUCCUUUUUCAUUGCAAAAGUUUUAAAAGUCAUCUCUUUCAAACUCACAUUCAUGAUCACUCCUAAUGCUAACAAUGAGAAGUCCAUUUUCGUUUUGAACCUUUUUGCAAUGAUUUACAAAUGCAAGUAGAGCAUCAUGUUCAUGAGCAAGGAAAUAGACCCAAGUAUACCUAGAGUAGUCAUCAACUAUCACAAAGCCAUCUGAUUUUCCUCCUAGACUAGUUGUGUUAAUUGGACCAAAUAAAUCAAUAUGCACCAGUUCAAGAGGUCUAGAUGUUGACACAAUCUUCAUGGUUUUGAAGGAUGUUCUAACUUGUUUACCUAGUUGGCAAGCAUCACACAUUUUAUCAUUCUUAAACUUAAGUUCAAGCAAUCCAACGACUAGAUUUUUUCUAAUCAAUUUUGAGAUCGUAUGCAUGCUCACAUGUGCUAGUCUCCUAUGCCAUAACCAGCUAUCAUUUUCUUCAUUUGCCACAAGACACGUUUCAUAAUUUAUCUCAAGAUCUUCAAGGAAUGUAACAUACAUAUUCUUAAUUCUUUUUCCUAUGAAUGAAACUUUGUUAGUACUUAUCUCUAUCACCUCACAUUUGUUUGAAUCAAAGCAUACCUUGAAACCUUUAUCACACAAUUGGCUGAUGCAUAAUAAAUUGUGUUUUAAACCUUUGACCAGCAACAAAUGACUGAUUUGAGCUUAAGAGUUCUUACCAAUGGUUCCUAUACCAUGAAUUCUACCAUUAGAAUCAUCUUCAAAAGGAAUUGUACCUCCCUUUUUCUUGUCUAUCUAAGCGAACAACAUUUCAUUUCAAGUCAUGUGUCUUGAGCAGCCACUGUCCAUAUACCAUGGUUCCUUCUCCUUUGGGUGUCUUUUCUAGUUGGCUCAACCUACAAAAUAAAUUUUCAGUUUUUCUUAACAAGUACCCAUACCUUGAUGGGUCCUUGAAGGUUAGUUGUGUGAUACCCCAACUUCUAUAGGCUUGUAACUAAGUAUAGAUGUAAUAAUAUAGGCUAGGGGUAGUUUCAUCAUUUUCUCUAAUAAGCUUCUAGAAGAAAGUUUUAGGAUAUUUUAAGGCCUAAAUAGGCAUAAGACAAUAUAAAUGAUGUGUGCUGAUGAAAACACGAAGAAAACUAGAAGUUUCAACAAUUUUCAUAAUAGGGGCAAAAUGAUCAUUUUUCACCUCGGGUUAAAAUUUAUGUUUUUAUGAACCCGAGUAUGUUUAGACCAUUAUGGAUCUUGUCCCAGUGUUAAAAGAGCAAAAAGAUUGCAUAAAAGAUUGGAAGAGAAUAAGUUAAUUGGUGGAAGGGCAUUUUCGUAAUUUUAUGGGAAUGGACAAGUUGGCCUAUAAAUAUUUGGAAAUUUCCAGCACCUUCUUGAAUUUCUAGCAGCUGGUCUUCUUCUUCUCCUCUCUCAUGUUUCUUCAAAACUUCAUGGAACCUUGUUUUGAAGCUUGAGUGAUUUUCUCUCUCUAGCUCUAGUUUCCACACCUUUGAACCCUUUUGACUAGAACCUUUGAAUGCUUUCAUCCUCUCACUUUAAAACCCUUCAAAAAUCAGGUUUUCACACUUUCUGUCACUAGUUGGACCUUCUAGAGAGAGAAAAAGAGAAUUACACCAUUUAUUUGGAAGCAAUUGGAAGGGAAUUUGACUACAAAGGAGCCCUAGGGUAAGUGAUGAACUAAGCUCAAUUUUUAGCUGCAGAAAAUGGCUAGUAAUUGGGAUUUAUGAGCUGUUUUAUUGUUGAGUAUGUUCAUUACUUUUAGUGAUUAAGAUAGUGAACAUAGAUGGCCAUUUAAUGUGGCAAUUGAAAACUAGCUAAGAGAUAGCUUUUAGAGUUCAUAGUGUGUAAAUUGAUCUAUUGUUUAUGUUAAUGUGAUCCUAGGUUUUUAAGGAAGCACCAUCAUUCCAAUUGGAUCAUUAGGGGAAUUUGAGUCAAUUAAAAGUUCUACAAUCAAUUGGUGAGUGGACUACCUUCAAAACUGAUUUUGGGAAUAUGAUGGAUUUGACAAAGUGUUUGAAUGAUUUUAUACAAUUUUUCAUGAAAAUGAAUGCCUUGGGAACAAGCUUUUGAGAAAAGGUUUAUGUUAUGAAAUGUGAUUAUUAUGGAUUUCUAUGUGGCUGCAUUAUGUUGAUAUACAUAUAUGCUUGAGUAUAAUGUUGUGUAAUUAUAUUGACUCGGCUAUGUGCGAGUAGGGAGUGCGCAUAAGCCGAGGAUGACCCGGUUAUGUGCGAGUAGGGAGUGCGCAUAACCCGGUGAUGACCCAGCCAUGUGCGAGUAGGGAGUGCGCAUGAGCUGGUGAUGAUGAUGAUGGGAUGGUGUGAUGAUGAUGAUGGGUAUAUAGAUAUAUAUAUAUAUGUAAAUAUGUGUGUUAUAGGAAAUUGAUGGAUAAUGGGUUAUGGUUGUAAUGCAUGUGAAACUUGACAUGUUAAACCUUGAGAAAUUGUUAUGUGUUUUCAUGUUGGUUUGGACCUUUUGGCAGGGUGGUUUUUCCUUUAGGAGAAAGGUAAAUUUUGCAUUGAUGCCCUGUAUUUCGCUGCAGCGAGAAACUCUCGGGUUUUGAAAGGGUACACUAACCGAAAACUCGCUGUAGCGAGGAUGCAUUUUUGCUACAGCAAGAAUGACACUGUAGCUUCUCGUUGCAGCGAAAUGCAUUCUCGCUGCAGUGAAAAACUUUCUGUUUUCUGGGUUGUAAUUUUGCUGCAGCGAGAAACAUUCUGUUUCUAGGUAAAAAUUUCACUACAGCGAGAUUCAAUCUCGCUGCAGCGAAAAACUUUUUGUUUUGGUCUCUUAUCUUGUCCAAUUGCUGCCCUAUCUUUCACUUCUUUGCUACCAUAUGGGAGCAUGGACUUCCAACAUUAAGGAUUAAAAGAGUUAAGUUUAAAAUGAGGAGGUUUAGUGAGAAACCCUCGGCCAGUUGAGAAACCCUCGUUCGGUUAAUAACUAAAUUCCAACGUCGCUGCAACGAAAAUUCAUUCUCGCUGCAGCGAAGAUUCGUUGUUGUAUUUGACUUGCUUGUGCAAUAUUGAAGCUUUCAUUCUUCAAAUGAUUCGCUAUGUAUGGGUUCAUGAUUUUCAAAUGAUUAAUCACUUAAGGGCUCGAUAAGGGGUUUUAUUAGGAAUGAACCAAAUUGCAUUGUUUUGAAACUAGUGCAUCAUGAUUUUAAAUUUUCCUUUGUUGUUGCUUGUUCCCUUCCUUGUUCACUCACUGGGUUUAUACUCACCAUUUCAAAUUCAUGUUUUCAGAUCACGAGGCAGCCGGUAACUAGGACGAGGUAUCCUUGUAGACCUGUGUCCAUCUUUUGGUAGGUGUCUCGGCAUUCAGUAGCUGUACAUUCAUCCGAGUCCCUCCGCUGGAAGUCAAGUCUUCUUUUUGAGAUGUAUAGGCGAACCUAAUGUACAUUAUUGGAAUACAUGUUGUAGACAAUGUAUGUAUAUAAUAAAUGAGAAAUGCCAAUACGAGUUGGCAAUGUCUAUUACUAUUUUGAUUUUAAGUUUUGAAAAAUGACUUAGCAGUUUAUGAUGGAAUGAUGAA